rnacentral:rRNA from 1 species
UAUUGGACAAUGGGCGCAAGCCUGAUCCAGCAAUACCGCGUGUGUGAAGAAGGCCUUCGGGUUGUAAAGCACUUUCAAUGGGGAGGAAAACCUGCCGGUCAAUACCCGGCAGCUUGACAUUACCUUUAGAAGAAGCACCGGCUAACUCCGUGCCAGCAGCCGCGGUAAUACGGAGGGUGCGAGCGUUAAUCGGAAUUACUGGGCGUAAAGCGUGCGUAGGCGGUUCGUUAAGUCAGAUGUGAAAGCCCUGGGCUCAACCUGGGAACGGCAUUUGAAACUGGCGGACUAGAGUUUAGUAGAGGGGAGUGGAAUUUCAGGUGUAGCGGUGAAAUGCGUAGAUAUCUGAAGGAACACCAGUGGCGAAAGCGACUCCCUGGACUAGAACUGACGCUGAGGUACGAAA